AGUGAACGCUGGCGGUAGGCCUAACACAUGCCAGUCGAACGGAAGCACAGUAAGAGCUUGCUCUUACGGGUGGCGAGUGGCGGACGGGUGAGGAAUACAUCGGCAUCUACUUUUUCGUGGGGGAUAACGUAGGGAAACUUACGCUAAUACCGCAUACGACCUACGGGUGAAAGCAGGGGAUCUUCGGACCUUUCGCGAUUGAAUGAGCCGAUGUCGGAUUAGCUAGUUGGCGGGGUAAAGGCCCACCAAGGCGACGAUCCGUAGCUGGUCUGAGAGGAUGAUCAGCCACACUGGAACUGAGACACGGUCCAGACUCCUACGGGAGGCAGCAGUGGGGAAUAUUGGACAAUGGGCGCAAGCCUGAUCCAGCCAUACCGCGUGGGUGAAGAAGGCCUUCGGGUUGUAAAGCCCUUUUGUUGGGAAAGAAAAGCAGCAGGUUAAUACCCCGCUGUUCUGACGGUACCCAAAGAAUAAGCACCGGCUAACUUCGUG
rnacentral:rRNA from 1 species